GAUGAACGCUGGCGGCGUGCCUAAUACAUGCAAGUCGAGCGAACGGACGAGAAGCUUGCUUCUCUGAUGUUAGCGGCGGACGGGUGAGUAACACGUGGAUAACCUACCUAUAAGACUGGGAUAACUUCGGGAAACCGGAGCUAAUACCGGAUAAUAUUUUGAACCGCAUGGUUCAAUAGUGAAAGACGGUCUUGCUGUCACUUAUAGAUGGAUCCGCGCUGCAUUAGCUAGUUGGUAAGGUAACGGCUUACCAAGGCAACGAUGCAUAGCCGACCUGAGAGGGUGAUCGGCCACACUGGAACUGAGACCCGGUCCAGACUCCUACGGGAGGCAGCAGUAGGGAAUCUUCCGCAAUGGGCGAAAGCCUGACGGAGCAACGCCGCGUGAGUGAUGAAGGUCUUCGGAUCGUAAAACUCUGUUAUUAGGGAAGAACAAAUGUGUAAGUAACUAUGCACGUCUUGACGGUACCUAAUCAGAAAGCCAGGGCUAACUACGUG
rnacentral:rRNA from 1 species